AUGGAGCAGAACCCAGAGUUCGCCGCUCUCGGCGCUCUUGGGCUCGCCGGCAUCUGCCGCGAGGCCCUCCGCGUCGCCCGCUCCCAUCCAGCAGGCUCCGCCUUCUUGGCCGGUCAGGUGGUCGUACUCACCCUGUCCUUGCUCGCCCACAUCGCCGUCUCCCGCGCCCUCCUCCGACGCCCUCGCCUCCUCCUCCCACGCUGGCGCCAGCCUCCUCCGUCUCGACACGAACUGGGCUCUCUUCUUCCUCGUAGAGGCCGCCUGCCUCCUCGCCAUCGUGGCCCAGUCGCUCUGCGCCGCCGCCUUCUGCGUCUUCUGCGUCGCCCCGCGCUACGGCGUCACCGACGACCGCGACAAGCGCACGAUCGCCCGCGACUACCGCACCGUCCCCUGGUUCUUGGCCAGGUUCCUCUGGUCCGUCUUCGGAGGCGACUCCCGCAGCGCCACGCGCCUCAUCCGGACGGCCCGCAAGGUCGCCUGGCGCCUCGCGGUCACAACCUUCCACGCCUUCCUCCUCCUCCUCGGCUACACCGCACUCCUCGGCGCCGCCGCAUGGUUGGCGCACCACCACCUUCUCGCCCCCGCUACCCCGGUUGA
rnacentral:rRNA from 1 species